rnacentral:rRNA from 1 species
UACGUAGGGGGCAAGCGUUGUCCGGAAUCAUUGGGCGUAAAGCGCGUGUAGGCGGCCUUGUAAGUCCGUUCUGAAAGUCCGGGGCUCAACCCCGGGAGGCGGAUGGAUACUGCAAGGCUCGAGUCCGGAAGAGGCAAGUGGAAUUCCCGGUGUAGCGGUGAAAUGCGCAGAUAUCGGGAGGAACACCAAUGGCGAAGGCGAGCUUGCUGGG